UACGAAGGGGGCUAGCGUUGUUCGGAAUUACUGGGCGUAAAGGGCGCGCAGGCGGCUCUUCAAGUCAGAACGUGAAAUCCCUCGGCUUAACCGGGGAACUGCGUCUGAUACUGGAUGGCUUGAGUUUGGGAGAGGGACGCGGAAUUCCAGGUGUAGCGGUGAAAUGCGUAGAUAUCUGGAGGAACACCGGUGGCGAAGGCGGCGUCCUGGGACCAACACUGACACUGAUGAGCGAAAGCCAGGGGAGCAAAACGGG
rnacentral:rRNA from 1 species